rnacentral:rRNA from 1 species
ACGGGAGGCAGCAGUGGGGAAUAUUGGACAAUGGGCGAAAGCCUGAUCCAGCGACGCCGCGUGAGUGAAGAAGUAUUUCGGUAUGUAAAGCUCUAUCAGCAGGGAAGAUAAUGACGGUACCUGACUAAGAAGCCCCGGCUAACUACGUGCCAGCAGCCGCGGUAAUACGUAGGGGGCAAGCGUUAUCCGGAUUUACUGGGUGUAAAGGGAGCGUAGACGGCAAAGCAAGUCUGAAGUGAAAUGCCGGGGCUUAACCCCGGAACUGCUUUGGAAACUGUUUAGCUAGAGUGCAGGAGAGGUAAGCGGAAUUCCUAGUGUAGCGGUGAAAUGCGUAGAUAUUAGGAGGAACACCAGUGGCGAAGGCGGCUUACUGGACUGUAACUGACGUUGAGGCUCGAAAGCGUGGGGAGCAAACAGGAUUAGAUACCCUGGUA